rnacentral:lncRNA from 1 species
AAGAAAAAAAUAUCAAAAUAUAAUAUAUUUUUGUACCAAUCGGUAGAGAAGAAGGCAGUCUAAUAUUUGUGCUGAAAAUACUUGUUUUGGUGUUUUUUCUUUUUUCCCAAUGAAUGUUAAAAGAGGUUCUCGCUUCCGCCCCCAUCUCGCCUUCCAAAUGCCAACAUUUGGAGCAACAGAAAAGGAAAACCUCACUGGUCUAAAUACUUGCAAUUUUCUACUUUUAUUUUAUGGGUUCUAUACACAAUUAUAAACCAUGAGCAUUGGUUGCCAUUAAAACUUUGAGGAAAAUCCUGAGGGUAAAUCAAUCUGUUUCUGUCCCCACCUCUCUGUCUCUUGUCUGUCCUUUCACAAGUCCCAGAUAAAAUGAUCCCUCCUUAUGUUUCCUCCCCUGGAAUGUUUUUCCCGCCUUGCGCCACUUUUUAAAAAGCAGUUCCCAGUUAAUAAACCUCCCAUGUUUGCAUACCACUGCCCAGUUUCCAUAGAACUUGUGAAUAAAGCACCUUUUCCCAUCGUUACGUGAAUGUGGGGUAAGCAUAUAGCACAUAGAGAUUAUGAUUCCCAUUUUACAGAUAAGGCAACUGAGUCUCAGGGACGUUAAAUGACUUACUGUAAGGCUGGACAGUGGACCUUGGGCAAAACCCCAUCUUCUCCUUGUUCCCUAUAUCCUGCCACUUUUUCCAGAGAGAACGGGAAAUAAGGCAUCUCUACUUCUAGAAACGGUUAGCUAGUUUGGGAAUGAUCAGAGGUAGGACAGAGAGGGUGUCCUAUUGCCUUCUAAAGUUCCAGGCUGCUUUGUGACAGUCACAAUGAGUCACCUAAGUUCCAGGACAGCACUCAGACAUGGACACAAUAUCCUUUAAGAGCCAGUCUUGGCUUGUUGAAAUACCCUGAAACACCAGUCUUGGUUUGGUUGACGUUGACUGAAAUUAUUGGAUUCGUUUCUGGAAAACCAGAUGGAUAAUCACACUAGGAACAGGGGGAAAAAAUGGUCUUCAAAGUCGGAAUAAACCUAACGGAUCCAUUCUCCAUUUGGCACUUAAAUCCUUUCUGUAACUGGCUACACGGGGGUUUAAAUCAUUACUGUGUCUGGAAAUUUUUCACUCUUGAUUUUGCUUUUGUUGGAAAGAAGAUCAAUUUCUCCUAA